rnacentral:rRNA from 1 species
GAUGAACGCUGGCGGCGUGCUUAACACAUGCAAGUCGAACGAGGUCCAUGGAGCUUGCUCCAGAAGACCUAGUGGCGAACGGGUGCGUAACACGUGAGAAACCUGUCCCGAUCACUGGGAUAACAGUUGGAAACGACUGCUAAUACCGGAUAUCGCCGGAGCACCGCAUGGUGCACCGAUGAAAGGGUUACUGGAUCGGGAGGGUCUCGCGGCCUAUCAGCUUGUUGGAGAGGUAACGGCUCACCAAGGCAUCGACGGGUAGCUGGUCUGAGAGGAUGAUCAGCCACACUGGGACUGAGACACGGCCCAGACUCCUACGGGAGGCUG